rnacentral:rRNA from 1 species
CUGUCUCUAUAUAAUUAUUAAUUUAAUUUAAUUUUUAAGUCAAAAAGCUUAAAUUUUUUUAAAGGACGAGAAGACCCUAUAGAGUUUUACAACUUAAAAUCAUAUUAGUAUAAUUUAUCUUCUUUAUUAAUAUAUUAAGUUGUUUUAUUGGGGUGAUAGUAAAAUUUAAUAAACUUUUUUAAUUAUAUAAACAUUAAUUAAUGAAUUUUUGAUCCUAUUAUUUAGAUUAUUAGAUUAAAUUACCUUAGGGA